UUUGGCACUGUAGAAUAUUAUGAACAGACUGACAACCCGGCUAAUAGGUUGGAAUACAGUCAGAUUCAUUUAGGAUUGCUGCCCCGGCUGAAGCUGUGCUUGUCCCUGUGGUCGUUGGCAAACGCCACUGCAUGUGCCUAACAGAAACCUGGCAAAAACCAGGGGACUACUCUGUGCUUAAUGAGGCAUGUCCCCCUGGCUAUAACUACAUGGAGAAAGCCCGCAGCUCUGGUCGUGGUGGUGGACCAGCCAUCAUGUUGAACUAAAACGUUCUCCUCUGCAAAUGCCUGAUCCUUUAUGGAAUACCUGGCCUCCAAAUGCAAAUCUCCGUACUGCGUGACAGUGCUUGUCAUAUACCGUCCUCCAAAGCCAAACCCAUCUCUUCUACCUGAGCACACGUUCCCCAGCGUCUCCUUUUUCUACUUUUUGGAGAGCCUUAACAAUGACAGAGAGACAGAGGUGAAGAGAAGAGGAAGAAGGAGGAGGAAAGAAAUGAUGCAUG
ensembl:lncRNA